CAAAGAUAUAUUUGGUGUGCUUGUGGAAACAGUAGACAUCAGCCAAUGUGUGAUGGGACCCAUUUGAAUACUCAGCUAAAAAUCAAGCAGUAUCCGAUAGUCUUCAAAGCACCAAAGACUAUGGAUGUAUGGUUUUGUAACUGUAAACAAACAAAAAAUCCACCAUUUUGUGAUGGUAGCCACUUAGAUGAGAGGGUAAAGGCAGCAGUUAAAGACUGAUCACAAAGUAAUGUUAAAUGUGGAGUAAUUAUGAGCAACAGCUGUAUAAAUGUGUACAAACCAUGGAUUUUAGGUAUUUAUGUGGAUGGUCAUUAACUUAUUGAAAAUAAAUGGAAACAAGACAAGUAGCCUUCAAUACCUUAAAACUCUAAAAUUGUAUUUUUUUUUUAAAUGAAAUGCAGAACGAGAAAAAUCUGUUCUCUACGUGUAAUUCAAUGUUAGAUUGAAAUAGUCAGUGGCAUAAUACAUAAUACUAUCUAUUAUAAUGUAUGAUGAUAGUGUAGUGACAGCAUUUUUGCUUGUAAAUGUUAGAAACCUUUAUACAGGCAGUCUCCAGUUAUUGCCGUGGGUUCCAUCUGAUGGAUUGAUAAGCGAAAAUCGCUGGUAACUGAAAAUUGGCAAUUUAUGACACUUAUGGCACCAAUAACUGGUUAAUGGCACCUCUGUUAGGUAUGUAUUGGUGCCAUAACUAUUAUCGGCGUCGAUCACUGGAAAUCUGCACAUUGUGUCACCGAAAAUCACUGAUUUUUGGCGUUAGACAAGCGCCAUGGAACCAGAUCGCUGAUAACUGAGUCCGCCGAUAACUGGGGACUGCCUGUGAUUAUACUGAGAAAGGGCUUCAGCAAUCCUUCGUAUGUCUUGUUUGUUUUGUGGUCUAAAUCAAAGAAAGGAUACUGAAGAAGAUUUACUAUCAAACAUUUGUGGAUAUGUCAACCAUUAACAUCUUAUAAGUGACGCUAGCUGUCAUCACCAUUGAGUUUUUCUUUUACAAUUAUUCUUGAAUCUUUAGCAUAUAUGAGUCAAGCGCCUCAGCGGCGUAGUUGGUAUGGUAUUAGCGUUCCACCUCGGUGGUCGCGGGUUCGAUUCUCGGCUAUUCCGUUGAGGAGUGAGAGAUGUGUAUUUCUGGUGAUAGAAGUUCACUCUCGACGUGGUUCGGUAGUCACAGAAAGCCGUUGGUCCCAUUGCUGAAUAACCACUGGUUCCAUGCAACGUAAAAGCACCAUACAAACAAACAAACAAACAUAUAUGAGUUACAUAAAUGGAAUAAUUUACUGUACAUGUAAUGUACCAAUUUGCCACAUAAUUGAACUACAAUAAGUAUUUUUGACAGUAAUUUUCUUUAAGAGAAAUACUUUAAAGAUCAAUGACAUAUGCAAGAUGGGGCAAUCAGUUUUUGUUACAAACAAUAAAAUGUUUGUUUAUAUUUAACAAAUAAGUAUUGACUGUUCAAAUGUUUUAUUGUGGAAUUUUUCACAGGUAAAUAAUGAUGUUUGAUUUGUCAAGAUAAACAAUGUUGAUAUUACUCUGUUUGUAGAGGAAUAUUUUCUCUGUAAAUGAAUUAAUUACAAGAAUCUGUAAAUAUUUUGAAUAGAAUUAUACAAAAUAUAAAUACUUUUAUUA